GAGUUUGAUCGUGGCUCAGGACGAACGCUGGCGGCGUGCCUAAUACAUGCAAGUCGAGCGGACUUGAUGGAGUGCUUGCACUCCUGAUGGUUAGCGGCGGACGGGUGAGUAACACGUAGGUAACCUGCCUGUAAGACUGGGAUAACAUUCGGAAACGAAUGCUAAUACCGGAUACGCGAAUUGGUCGCAUGGCCGAUUCGGGAAAGACGGAGCAAUCUGUCACUUACAGAUGGACCUGCGGCGCAUUAGCUAGUUGGUGAGGUAACGGCUCACCAAGGCGACGAUGCGUAGCCGACCUGAGAGGGUGAUCGGCCACACUGGGACUGAGACACGGCCCAGACUCCUACGGGAGGCAGCAGUGGGGAAUAUUGGACAAUGGGCGCGAAGACCUGAUCCAGCCAUGCCGCGUGAGUGAUGAAGGCCUUAGGGUUGUAAA
rnacentral:rRNA from 1 species